GACGAACGCUGGCGGGAGGCCUAACACAUGCAAGCCGAACGGGAUUUUUUGGUUAGCUUGCGCUCUGAUAAUGACUGUGAGUUGCGAACGGGUGACAUGUGUGCAAUCUGCCCUUAUGGUGGGGAUAGACCACAAUAGUCUGGAAUAACACCCUCCGACAAAUGGUAAGGAUUGCUUGAUAAUUGAAUGCCACAGGCGACUGCGACGAUCCCGCAUGGAACUGCCUUGUUGGAACUGUAACGGGAUACCACGGCUACCAUAUUUAACGGGCCUGAGACGACGAUCCCCGGUGAGGGACUGACACACGACUGAGACUCCUACGGGAGGCUACGGGAGGAAUAUUGGACAAAGGGUGAAAGCCUGAUCCAAGUCUGACGCGUGCAGGACGACUGCCCGAUGAAGGGUAAACGGCUUUUAUAUUGGGAUGAACCAACUCUCGUGAGAGUAGAUUGGAGUACUAUAUGAAUAACGGCCGGCUAACUCCGUGCCCGCAGCCGUACUAAUACGGAGGGUGCAAGCGUUAUCCGGAUUUAUUGUUUUUCGGAUGUCCUUAGGUGGGCUGAUAAGUCAGCGGUGAAAUCCUGCUGAAUAUCUGUGCUACUGCCGAUGAUACUGACACUCUUGAGUGUGUUUGACUUGACUGGAGUAAGUGAUAUUGCAAUUCCAUGUGUAGAUAUGACAUGCGUCAACAUUUGCAAAAACACCUCUCUCAAAUACAACUGACUCUGAUGGACUGACCCUGAGGAGCGAACAGG
rnacentral:rRNA from 1 species